AAACUUAAAUGAAUUGACGGGUCCCCGCACAAGCAGCGGAGCGUGUGGUUUAAUUCGAUGCUACACGAAGAACCUUACCUGGGUUUGACAUAGAGGUAGUAGGGAAGCGAAAGCGGACCGACCUUCGGGGAGCCUCUACAGGUGUUGCAUGGCUGUCGUCAGCUCGUGUCGUGAGAUGUUCGGUUAAGUCCGCUAACGAGCGCAACCCUCGCUGUGUGUUACAAGUGUCACACGGUACUGCCGAUAUUAAGUCGGAGGAAGGUGGGGAUGACGUCAAGUCAGCAUGACCUUUAUAUCCAGGGCUACACACACGCUACAAUGGCCAGUACAAUGGGUUGCCAAGCCGCGAGGCGGAGCCAAUCCUAAAAAGCUGGCCUCAGUUCAGAUUGCAGUCUGCAACUCGACUGCAUGAAGCCGGAGUUGCUAGUAACCGCAGGUCAGCAAUACUGCGGUGAAUACGUUCCCGGGUCUU
rnacentral:rRNA from 1 species